rnacentral:tRNA from 1 species
CCUGGUGGCUCAGAGGGUAAAGCGCCUGCCUGCAAUGCAGGAGGCCUGGGUUUGAUCCCUGGGUCAGGA